rnacentral:rRNA from 1 species
UCAGACUUUGAUUAUGGCUCAGGAUGAACGCUAGCUACAGGCUUAACACAUGCAAGUCGAGGGGAAACGACAUCGUAAGCUUGCUUUUGAUGGGCGUCGACCGGCGCACGGGUGAGUAACGCGUAUCCAACCUGCCCAUCACUUGGGGAUAACUUUGCGAAAGUAAGACUAAUACCCAAUGACGUCUCUAGAAGACAUCUGAAAGAGAUUAAAGAUUUAUCGGUGAUGGAUGGGGACGCGUCUGAUUAGCUUGUUGGCGGGGUAACGGCCCACCAAGGCGACGAUCAGUAGGGGUUCUGAGAGGAAGGUCCCCCACAUUGGAACUGAGACACGGUCCAAACUCCUACGGGAGGCAGCAGUGAGGAAUAUUGGUCAAUGGGCGAGAGCCUGAACCAGCCAAGUAGCGUGCAGGAAGACGGCCCUAUGGGUUGUAAACUGCUUUUAUAAGGGAAUAAAGUGAGUCUCGUGAGACUUUUUGCAUGUACCUUAUGAAUAAGGACCGGCUAAUUCCGUGCCAGCAGCCGCGGUAAUACGGAAGGUCCGGGCGUUAUCCGGAUUUACUGGGUUUAAAGGGAGCGUAGGCCGGAGAUUAAGCGUGUUGUGAAAUGUAGACGCUCAACGUCUGCACUGCAGCGCGAACUGGUUUCCUUGAGUACGCACAAAGUGGGCGGAAUUCGUGGUGUAGCGGUGAAAUGCUUAGAUAUCACGAAGAACUCCGAUUGCGAAGGCAGCUCACUGGAGCGCAACUGACGCUGAAGCUCGAAAGUGCGGGUAUCGAACAGGAUUAGAUACCCUGGUAGUCCGCACGGUAAACGAUGGAUGCCCGCUGUUGGUCUGAAUAGGUCAGCGGCCAAGCGAAAGCAUUAAGCAUCCCACCUGGGGAGUACGCCGGCAACGGUGCAACUCAAAGGAAUUGACGGA